GAAGCCGCCCUGUACUGUCUAGAGAAGUUAGUUGUCUUCCAUUUCAAUACCACCAGAUCAAACGGCAUUGUGUGGCGGUAUUAUUGUGACCCGCGGGACUAGCCAGCCGAGAGACACCGUUUACUUGAUAUGGCUGUAAACCGUGUCCUCUCCAAGCGGCCAGGAUUUCGCUCUCAGACGGACACAGGCCCUAGAACCAUGGCCCCUUUUGGCAUAUUUUCAGGAUUUGCCUUGCUCUUAGCACUGUUGAUUCUCAG